rnacentral:rRNA from 1 species
AUGAAUCACCGCCACCACAAGGGCAUGCGGUUCGACCAAUUAUUAUGAAUCACCAGAACGAGGCCGGUUUGAAUCUAAUAAUCACAACCCACGUGAGUGGGCCUUUGUGCAUGUAUUAGCUCUAGAAUUACUACGGUUAUCCAUGUAGUAGGCGACCAUCACGUAUUUGAUAACUGAUUUAAUGAGCCAUUCGCAGUUUCAUAAGAGUUAUUUACACUAAGACAUGCAUGGCUUAAUCUUUGAGACAAGCAUAUGACUACUGGCAGGAUCAACCAGGUAUCAUUAAUUAAUGGCGCGGAUUUAAACAUACUAUCCAGUAUACGCCCUUUCCGCUUUUAAUCUUUAUAAAAAGAUAGCAAUAUCUAUACAAAAAUUAUAUAAUGAAUAGAUAAAAUAUAUUUGUUCUCUUUUUUUUUUUUAUAGAUUUGAAUUUUCUUUGUUCAAUCCAAUAAACACAAAGACAAAUUUCAAAAUAUACCGCCAAGUUAUCCGUUAUAUACAUAUUAUAUCAACAAACUUUCUCAAUAAAUAGUUACAUAUCAAUUGUUCGUUUGUACCCGCGAUAACUACGUUUUAAAAAAAAUAUUCAAAUAUGAUUCUGCAGUUAAUUUCGUUGGAACCAUUUAUACAUAUUAAUUUUUAUUUUCAUACUCUAAUACAGAUUCUGAAUAUUAAAAUCUUUAUUUUUUAUUUUUUUUUUCCUAAAGUAUGAUUAAUAUAAAAUUCCACUAUCUAUUUAUUAAAUUUUACAUACCAAAAAAAAAAAAAAAUUAAAAUAAAAUGUAGAAUAAUCAAAAAUCUGCAUAUAUACAAUUUGCAUAUUAUUUAUUGUCAUCACAAUCAAUUUCAACUUCUCUGCCUUAUUUUUAUCAAAUAUAAUCAUCAUAGUUAAAUAGUCAGCAAUGUUAGUAUUCCAUAGGCUGCUUAUUAUCCAAAAACGAUUAUACAAUAAAAGAGCAAAUUCAAAACUGGUGGAAUCUUUGGAUACUGAAAUUUGCUUCGAUUUAUAUUAUGUAUUUUUUAGAUUUUUUCUUCUUGAAUAUUUUAUAAUUUUAUAUUAUAAAAUAUCAAAUUUACUCUUUCUACAAUUCUAGAAAGUAACCCAAUUAAUAAUAAAAUAAAAAGUACAAAUUCCAGAUUCCCAUUUCUUUAAAAAAUACAUAAACUAAAUCAGUAUUUUUUUUUUUAAUUUACCUUUUAUCGGACUGAUUCUUACAACAUUAGUGUCAACAAAAUCCAGCACGCAAAAAAUAAAUUCGUAAUUAAACACAAUUGUUUUUUUGGCUUACUUAUAUAUUAUAUAUUUCUUAUCUAUAUAAAGAAACUACUUUAUAUAUAACAAAUCCCUAUUAAACCAAACGUUUAAAAGACUUAUUUAAAAACCAAAAUCACCUGUUAUACAAAUAUCAUACACCUGAAUUUCAAUUUUUCCAAACAACUAUAUAUAUAAAAGAAAUCAAGAUUUUUUUUUCAAUUUAAAACAGCUAAGUUUUUAUAUUAUUUAAUAAAACCAAUAUUUUAAUAAACUAUUUCAAAACCCAUGUAACGUAUAAACAGAUCAAAAAAAAACAAGAAUAAAUAUAUCCUACCAAUAAAAGAUAUUCAACAUCGCAAACAAACUGACAAUAAAUCUAGUCGAUUUCUUCGAUUAUUGAAUAUUAAUACAUAUAUAUUUUUAUUCCAUUUUUAUCUCUCGAUAUAAUAAAUGAAUAAAUAGAUCAUAUUUUAUCUUUCCAUAUUUAUAAAACCUUCUUUCUUGGAAUUUCCUUAAAAA